GCUCCAGUGGCACAAUCGGUUAGCAAGUGGUACUUACACAGCAGUACAUGCAGAGCAAUGCUGAGGUUGUGAGUUCACGCCUCCCCUGAAG
rnacentral:tRNA from 1 species